AACGAACGCUGGCGGCGCGUCUUAAACAUGCAAGUCGAACGAUCUGUAGCAAUACAGGGAGUGGCGGACGGGUGAGGAACACGUAGGAAUCUACCUAGAAGAGCGGGACAACCCUGGGAAACCGGGGCUAAUACCGCAUAGUACAGUGAUGUUAAAGGGCUAGCAAUAGUCGCUUCUAGAUGAGCCUGCGGUCUAUCAGCUUGUUGGCGGGGUAACGGCCCACCAAGGCGACGACGGAUAGCCGGUCUGAGAGGAUGAUCGGCCACACUGGCACUGAGACACGGGCCAGACUCCUACGGGAGGCAGCAGUUAAGAAUCUUGCGCAAUGGACGAAAGUCUGACGCAGCGACGCCGCGUGAAGGAUGAAGGCUUUCGGGUUGUAAACUUCGGUAGACUGGGAAGAAAAAGUAAGUUCGUUGAGGGCUUACAUUGACGGUACCAGUCUGAAGCCCCGGCUAAUUACGUGCCAGCAGCCGCCGCGG
rnacentral:rRNA from 1 species